CAAUCCACCAAUUAUGUGUGUCUUAUCCUCUGUGUUAUGCUACUCAUACAUACUACACUCUUUCUUUCUCUCUCUCUAUCUCUUUCUCCAGAGUCCCCACCCUUUUGGUACCAUUCUUCAUGGUCCUGCACCACCACACCUGAUAAAUAUGAAGCUCUAUUCCAAGUAUAAUGGAAACUGUGAAAAGCAGACCAUACUUCCAACAUUGGCCUAAAGCUUUCAUCACUUUCUCAAAUCAAACCACUUUCUUUUUCCUUGUAAUCCACUACCAAAUGCUUCAUAUCUAUGUUGUCUUGAAAAAAGUGUAUACUUAGAGCUAGGGAAGCUAAGUGGGAAGGUAGAUAAGAAACUGAAACCUCUUCUGCGUUUGGGGUGGUCCUCAUUCUGCAGAAGCUGUCUAGGGUUUUCUCCUUCAUCCGUUGGAAAUUGCAAAAAAUCUGUUUAUGUGAGAUGUUCCCUUCUUCUAAUUACACCUCCUCGGGCUCUUACCCUCGUUUCCCUUCUUCGUCUUCUUCUGCUGCGCCCUACCCUUCUUUCACUUUCCUUCACCCUGAAAAUUCUUCUGCCAGCACCACCUUUCUCCAUGAUCCACUUUCUGUUACCUUCAUACCGACUAAUUAUCAUGCUCCGAUUCCUGAAACACUGGCCAAUUGGGCAGUUGCAGAUUGUGCCGCUGCGGCAAUGCUCAAUCAGGAUCUCGGUGGUGCCCUUUAUGGCAUCACCAAGAAACCUGCGAAGAAAACGGCCAAGAAAGACAGGCACAGCAAGAUUCACACUUCUCAGGGCUUGAGGGACCGGAGGGUGAGGCUGUCCAUUGAGAUCGCACGCAAGUUCUUCGAUCUUCAAGACAUGUUAGGGUUUGAUAAAGCCAGCAACACCCUUGACUGGCUCUUCACAAAGUCUAAGAAGGCGAUUAAGGAGCUAACUCGAAGCAAGCACAGUGCUGAUAGCUUCGAAUUCUCCUCAUCUUCGGAUGGUGAAGUGGUUUCUGUCAUCCACCAAGACCAACGACAGCAACAAGGGAUGGACUUUGAAGAGGGGAAGUUGAAAGAAGCUGCCUAUUGUGUUAAAGCAAAGAUGAAGGAAUCAAGGGAAAAAGCAAGGGCAAGAGCAAGAGAAAGGACUAGUUGCAAGAUACUGUGCAGUGGUGAAGGGAAGGUGCAAGAGUUGAAGAAAAAGUGCCCUGCAACUGAAAACCAUCAAAUCCUGAACCAAUUAAGGUCACCCCUUCAACUUCAUCCUCAAGAUGUAGAUGGAGGAGUGCCAAGAGAUGAUGACUUCAACGUUAUUGAGGAAUCCAUUGUCAUCAAGAGAAAGUUGAAACACUCUCUGAUGUCUUCCAUUCAUCACCAAAACGCUGUGAUCCCUAAGGAAGCAAGUGUGAACAACAGUGACUACCACUCCUUCCCCAAUUUGUCGCCAAAUUGGGAAGCUAAUAAUGCUGCCAAUGGACGCUCCACCUUUUGUGCGAUAGCCAGCAUGAAUCUAUCUGCAGGGCUUCAAAUUUUUGGAAAAUCUUGGGAGGAGUGCACCAAUCCUCAUCCUACCUAAUAUGUUAAAUUUCAGUAUUAUCCGAUGAUUGUCCCUAGUGUUUUGCAAGGAAUACCAUGAUCUUGGAGGAAUCUUUCUGUGUUUUCUACCAGUAACUUUUGUUGUCCUAUAUUUCUUUUCCAAAAUGUACUGAUUUUUUCUUUGCUCUAGAUUAACCGAGGGCAUGUGACAGAAAAAGGAUGCUGCGUGUAUAAUUUCUGACCAGUAUUUUAAGCGUGGCUGAUAUUAUUGGCAAAAUCCUGUGGUCAUUUGAGGAGACGGAUGCACAGAAGAAAAUUCAAGAUCAUUCAGUCAUUCAUGGUGUUCUAAACUAUAUGUGUUGGCAUACAUGUACUGAUUACCUUAGAGAUAUCAUUCUGUUAGAAAAUUUCCGCUUUGAAAAAUUUCAGACAAAGAUCUUUUAUAAUGUAACACUUAA